AGUGAACGCUGGCGGCAGGCCUAACACAUGCAAGUCGAACGGAUGAAGAGUGCUUGCUCGCUGUUUCAGCUGGGGACGGGUGGGUAAUUGCUAGGAAUCUGCCUGGUAGUUUGUUAUAACGGCCGGACACGGGGGCUAAUACCGCAUACGUGCAGAGGGAGUAAGGGGGGAAUCUUCGGACCUUACGCUAUUAGAUGAGCCUAUGUCGGAUUAGCUAGUUGGUGGGGUAAAGGCCUACCAAGGCGACGAUCCGUAACUGGUCAGGGAGGAUGAUCAGUCACACUGGAACUGAGACACGGUCCAGACUCCUACGGGAGGCAGCAGUGGGGAAUAUUGGACAAUGGGCGCAAGCCUGAUCCAGCCAUGCCGCGUGGGUGAAGAAGGUCUUCGGAUUGUAAAGCACUUUUAGUGGGGAGGAAGAGCAGUAGGUUAAUACCUUGCUGUUUUGACGGUACCCAAAGAAUAAGCACCGGCUAACUUCGUG
rnacentral:rRNA from 1 species